CCAGGGCGACGCCCGCGGGCGCGGCCCGGAGCGCGGGCGCCCCCCGCUGGGCCCGGCGGGACGUGGCGCCGCAGCCGCCGCGGCGAGGCGCGGCCCGGCCCGGCCCCGGGGACCGAGCGGGGGGGCCUCGGCGACCGGGGGGGCGGCCCCACCGCAGAGCCCGGAGCCCCGCGGGCCACACCGCGGCCUGCGCGACCCCCCCCCACCCCGGGCUGGGCCGCGGGCCCGGAGCCAGGCCCCGCGGAGCGGCCCGCGGCCUGCAGCCCCCCGGGAGGCCUCCGCUCCUCCUGCCGCCCCGGUGCCAUUUCCCACCAGGCAACUGCCCGUUGAGCGAGGAGCGGAAACAACAUGUCGCCGCAGAGAUUCGGGCUCGUGGAGACAGGCGUAGUCCGGCGAGCGUCGGCGUGCCAGCGCCUCCGCACGGUGCCCGCGGCCGAGCAGCUACCUGCCCAGCGGUAACUGGGUUAAUUCCCAGCCCUGUAGGGAAUGGUUAAUGACCUAAAACGUGGAGCUGAGACACACGUAGAGAGACCAGCUGCACGAGCGUGUUGAAAAAUCUGCAUCCUGCAAAGGAAGUGCGCUUUUAAAUCAAAUGGACAAACUGGGGUCAAGGCAGUGGCGAGGGUAAAAUAAUUUGUUUUCUAACCGUGGCUAGCAGCUGAGAAAGCCUCCAGGGGGUUGAACUCAAUCUCACUUAAACCCCAGACUCUUGCCAAUUGUCAACUUCAAUGCCAAUUAACUAAAUCAAGUUAGCCAGUCCCAUUUAAAACACAACAAAGGAGAAAACAAAGAAACCCUACCAAGCUGUCAGUUUUUACUGUGACAGACCACCGUCAGAGUGACCUAUUUAGUGCUCUGGGCAACCUUCACUUCUUAAGGAGUGUUUUAAAAUAUAUUGAAACAGACACAUUUCUUUGUGCCCCUGCUCAUAACACCCAGCAGCAGUAUAAGCAAAAUUAAACCUACAUAGAAGUAGAACCAGAUCCCUACGUGCCUUUCUGCCAUCACACUGUACCUCACAAGCCAAGAUGGGUCUUGCACAGUGCCUUAAAAGCAGAUAAGAUGGGGUUGUCACCCUCAAAAGCAAACCAAAUUGCAAAUCCCUGGGAACUAAUAAAGGCUCCUGAAGCUGCAUUCCUCACUCAUAGCAAAAACUUAGCUCACGCUGCUGCUGACUGCUGUUGCAGCGUCUCGCGGUACUGCUGCUUGUAGAUCCCAGACUGUUUAGGACUUUGUAAGUUAAAACCGGUAUAUUUGCAUCUGUCUGGGAAAUGAUACGCACAGCACGGAUGAGAGCACAACUUAAUAUGCUCACAGGGAGAAAGGUUGCUUAACAAACAAGCUAACAGUUCGUGCACCCACUGCCAUUUCCAAUAGAUUGAAGAUACAGCCCCACUGCAAUGUCGAAUGCCAAGGUGAUAAAGACUUGCAGGACGGUUAGAAGGUCUGUAACUGAGUAUGUGUUUGUUUUCAGCUGGGCACAAGCUCCUAUCUCUCUGUAGAUGGAAAAAAGGCCAAAAUAGCUCUGUACUAGUUACCUGAUCUAAUGGCAGGAGCCAGGAUUCUAAUCAGCUGUACAGAUCAUAAACCUCAGCAAGUAAAGGGAGCAGCAUAACCUCAGUCACUAGGGAGGAAAUGACUUCCAUGCUGUCCCCACCACACACGGUCAUCUCAGUCUCCUGUGAGCUGACUCUCAGGCAGCAAGCCCUCAUCCAUGCCUCCACCCUCACCAACGCUACAGGCUUCUUCACAUGGAGAGGUAUUCCAGAUGAUGUUCAUAAUUCCCUAUGCAAACGCCCUUACAUCCCAGCUGCAAAUUAUUUUAAUCUGUUUUGUACAUUGUACUGUUUUGGAAAAAGACGUGCAUCUUUUGGAUUAAGAGUUAUUCAGAAAUAUUCAGAUUCAUGAUUUACCUUAAUCCAGAGGAACUUUUGUGUCAUGAUAGGACCUAAGAAUCAGCCAACAACCCUACCGAACAGGAAAAUCACAAUCUCCGGUAACUUUUGCCUAAGAUGUAAAAGUUAUAUCAGUGGCCUAUGAGUAUGAUGCAGCCUAUUUAGAAUACUGUGGAAUUACAGUGGUUGGUAUAGAAGACUGUAGUUCAAGAUAAAUUGAGGCUAAAUUCAAGAGAUCAUGUGGUGUUACAUAGCAAACAGGCUCCAGGUCUAGAACGGGCAGUAGUGAGACCCAAACAUGGAUUCCAGCCAAAAUUCAGUGCAAAGCUUUACCCUGGGAGAGUCGUACCUUGUCCUUUGCACACCUACCAAGUUUGACCCUUCUCACAUUCCUGCAGUACCUGCCUAGUUCACCAGUGCAGUAAAAUCCCACGGGCUGAAGCACAGAAUAAUGAUGUGCUCCUAGAUUUCAUCAUAAAGUUAAUAGUUUUGUUUGUAACUUGCUUUGGUUUGGAAUGAGGUGACCAGAUUAUAGUCUCCAUGAGGGCCCUGUUAAACUGGGCCUUCCUGGGUUACAGAGGAAAGGGCACAGACACAAUGAAACAACAUGUUCAAACAAAUAAAUACCUUGUAUUAUUUACAUGUAACAAUUUGACACUGAGGUUUUAUUUCUUUAUCUGUGCAUAAAAAUUAGUACAUAAAAUAGCUUCUGGAAGGCAUAGCUCCAACUGAACAAGAAAUCUGGCUUACUUAUGCUGCUUCAGGAUCAAACAACAUUCACUCAUUUAGUGCGUAAAGUAUCUAGUAGACAAAGACUCCAUGCAUAGUGUUGCAGGAUCUGUAAGGAUUGUAACAGUGUAUAAAAUAGUGCUAUAUUUUUAGUGUAGUUUUUCUAUGAACAAUGACAUAUUUAAUACAUGUUGCAUAUGAAGAAGACGAGGACUUCCCAUAUUCAAAAGUUAAACUACCAAGAAAAAGUUAAAAUAAAUUAAUGUAAAUUUUAGAGAAUCUUAAAUCACUUCUUUCACACAAAGCCAGAUUCCUUUCCAGUUACAUGUGUACAGAAGGUAAAUAAUUUGCAAUUAUUAGCAAUUAUCUUUGAAGUGGUUAUUUUCACAGGCAGUAUUUUUAUGCACCAUCCAAAUCAGGUUAGCAUAUAUCAGUGUCAUAGUUAUAUUAGUUUUCCCUUUUAAUGAAAUAAAACUGUUGAAUAAACAAUUAUGUUCCAGUGCUUAUAAAUAUUAAUAUAAAUCUUGGUCAGCUUUCAAAAGAAAGCUUGUUUUCAAAAGACUUGUUUGUCCCAUAAUAUAUUUAAAGAGCUGUUGUAUUAUCACUCAAAAGUGCAUCUAUUUUACCUUAAUAGAGGUAAUUAUACAGAAAACAACUUACACACCCGUAUGAUUAUCAAGAAGCUUGAUAACAUUCCGCAGCAGGAAUUUUUGCAUUACAUGUUCAUGUACCUACUACAUGUUAUUAGAUAAGUCCAAUGUGACAAUCUCGUCACAGGCACCCUCAAAGCUGAGGCUGCACAAAAAAAUUCAGUAAAAUUUGAAACAUAGGCAAGUUCUAGUCUCUCUCAACCACAUAUCUUUCAGGCACUUCGGUUUAAUGUAAGGCUGUGGAAGACAGAUAUUUGAGUUUUUAAUCUCCUAGAUGAUGCUGCUGGUGAAGGUAAAACAGUAGUUAGGGAGCCCCUAGGAGAGCUCUUUCUUGUAGUCUUUUGCGAAGGAGCCACAUCCGCUGGCCUGGACAGCAUUGCACUAUUACACCCUGGCUAAUGAUCCAGCUCGCCGAUGUCAAGUGAUGCAAGGAAUGGAUCUGAAAUUGCUCCGCACCACAGAAGUCUGCCCUUGCCUUAACAAGCUUGGGCUCAUGCCCUCAAUGAAAGCAAAAUCUGUUGGAGGAAACCUGGAAAAGCAUUGCCAGAGCCGACUGCAGAGCGGCCUCCUCAGAGCCCAGCCCUCGGGACUCUCCAGCCCUGUCUGCACUGAAGUCAGUAACGCAAUUCACAUUGAUUUCUGUACAGCUGAGGUUUUGCUUCCAGUCUAAAUUGAUAACAAGGACAUUCAUGUCAUCAGAUGAUCAGCAUUAUCUGCUUUCACUUGUCUCCCCAAUUCUUCCCUAAGGCAGAACCGAUGAACGCCUAUUGCUUUGGAAAGUAUUACUGUUUCCCUCCCUUUUACAGAAAGAAUUAAGAUUGUUAUAAACAUUUUUUGUGGUGAACUAUCAGAUUGAUUCAAAGCAUUUCAUAAUCUGUUUCCAGCUUUAAAGCUAUAUAAAGAACAGUGCAAUAUAAAAUGUUUCACUCUUGAGAAUUUUUAAAUGAACAUUUUCUCAAAGAGCGUGUGUGAAUAAAUCCAUCUUCAUUCA